rnacentral:ncRNA from 1 species
AUUUUCAUAUGGCAAACUUGUUGAAAGAUAAGGACGCAAAGCAAUGGGUCUAAGGACGAAUUAACGUCUAUGAUGCCAAGCCGCCAAU